rnacentral:rRNA from 1 species
UACGUAGGGGGCAAGCGUUGUCCGGAAUCAUUGGGCGUAAAGAGCGUGUAGGCGGCCCGGUAAGUCCGCUGUGAAAGUCGAGGGCUCAACCCUCGAAUGCCGGCGGAUACUGUCGGGCUAGAGUCCGGAAGAGGCGAGUGGAAUUCCUGGUGUAGCGGUGAAAUGCGCAGAUAUCAGGAGGAACACCUACGGCGAAGGCAGCUCGCUGGGACGGUACUGACGCUGAGAAGCGAAAGCGUGGGGAGCGAACAGG